rnacentral:rRNA from 1 species
AUUUUGGUGAGUGGCGGACGGGUGAGUAACACGUGGGUAACCUGCCCAAAAGUGGGGGAUAACAUUUGGAAACAAGUGCUAAUACCGCAUAACAACUGCUUUCACAUGAUCGCAGCUUGAAAGAUGGCUCUGCUAUCGCUUUUGGAUGGACCCGCGGCGUAUUAGCUAGUUGGUGAGGUAAUAGCUCACCAAGGCAAUGAUACGUAGCCGACCUGAGAGGGUAAUCGGCCACAUUGGGACUGAGACACGGCCCAAACUCCUACGGGAGGCAGCAGUAGGGAAUCUUCCACAAUGGGCGAAAGCCUGAUGGAGCAAUGCCGCGUGAGUGAAGAAGGUUUUCGGAUCGUAAAACUCUGUUGUUGAAGAAGAACAUGCGUGAGAGUAACUGUUCACGUACUGACGGUAUUCAACCAGAAAGCCACGGCUAACUACGUGCCAGCAGCCGCGGUAAUACGUAGGUGGCAAGCGUUGUCCGGAU